rnacentral:rRNA from 1 species
UACGUAGGGAGCAAGCGUUAUCCGGAUUUACUGGGUGUAAAGGGCGCGUAGGCGGGAUGGCAAGUCAGAUGUGAAAUCCAGGGGCUCAACCCCUGAACUGCAUUUGAAACUGUCGUUCUUGAGUACUGGAGAGGUUGACGGAAUUCCUAGUGUAGCGGUGAAAUGCGUAGAUAUUAGGAGGAACACCAGUGGCGAAGGCGGUCAACUGGACAGCAACUGACGCUGAGGCGCGAAGGCGUGGGGAGCAAACAGG